GGGYYUUCSKKAGUUGUAGACUUCGGUCUGCUACCUCUUACCCAUGUCUUUUGAGUACCUUCGUUUCCUCGGCGGGUCCGCCCGCCGAUUGGACAACAUUCAAACCCUUUGCAGUUGCAAUCAGCGUCUGAAAAAACAUAAUAGUUACAACUUUCAACAACGGAUCUCUUGGUUCUGGCAUCGAUGAAGAACGCAGCGAAAUGCGAUAAGUAGUGUGAAUUGCAGAAUUCAGUGAAUCAUCGAAUCUUUGAACGCACAUUGCGCCCCUUGGUAUUCCAUGGGGCAUGCCUGUUCGAGCGUCAUUUGUACCUUCAAGCUCUGCUUGGUGUUGGGUGUUUGUCUCGCCUCUGCGUGUAGACUCGCCUUAAAACAAUUGGCAGCCGGCGUAUUGAUUUCGGAGCGCAGUACAUCUCGCGCUUUGCACUCAUAACGACGACGUCCAAAAGUACAUUUUUACACUCUUGACCUCGGAUCAGGUAGGGAUACCCGCUGAACUUAAGCAUAUCAAUAAGCGGAGGAA
rnacentral:rRNA from 1 species